GUCAUGUUGUGCAAUAUCAAUAUCCAGUUCCAACCAAUUAUUUGCAAGCAGCAGUUCUUGAUUAUUCAUGAUGGAUACUCAUUAUGUAUACCUCAACGUCAACUUAGACACAGAAUAAGUAGGACCCUAUAAGUAUGGAGUAUUUGAACAGAAGCCUUAUGUGAGUUUGUCGUCGUUACAGACGUAAUACUGUGGAUUCAUUAUCACUCGUUG
rnacentral:lncRNA from 1 species